CCUCCAGUUCUUGGCAUGCAUGUUGCUGUUUAGUGCUAUUGUGUGUAAUUUAUGGAGGAAUAUCAAAGCCAGUGCAAUGUCUUCGGUACCAGAGUGUUUUCCAUCCUCUGGUCCUAUCCUCAAUCACUGGUACAGAA